AUUUAAAUAGCUUAUAAUAGAGCGUAAUGUUGAAAAUAUUAAGGAAAUUAUAUAAUUUUUAAAUA
rnacentral:tRNA from 1 species